rnacentral:rRNA from 1 species
GAUGAACGCUAGCGGCAGGCUUAAUACAUGCAAGUCGAGGGGCAGCACAGGUAGCAAUACUGGGCGGCGACCGGCAAACGGGUGCGGAACACGUACACAACUUACCUUAGAGUGGGGGAUAGCCCAGGGAAACUUGGAUUAAUACCCCAUAAAACAGGGGGCCCGCAUGGGCAUAUUGUUAAAGAUUUAUCGCUUUAAGAUGGGUGUGCGUAUGAUUAGGUAGUUGGUAGGGUAAAGGCCUACCAAGCCGACGAUCAUUAACUGGUGUGAGAGCACGACCAGUCAAACGGGCACUGAGACACGGGCCCGACUCCUACGGGAGGCAGCAGUAAGGAAUAUUGGUCAAUGGACGGAAGUCUGAACCAGCCAUGCCGCGUGAAGGAUGAAGGUCCUCUGGAUUGUAAACUUCUUUUAUAGGGGGCGAAAAAGGGCCAUUCUUGGUCAACUGACGGUACCCUAUGAAUAAGCACCGGCUAACUCCGUGCCAGCCGCCGCAGUAAAAC